rnacentral:rRNA from 1 species
GACGAACGCUGGCGGCGUGCUUAACACAUGCAAGUCGAACGAAGUGGCGAACGGGUGAGUAACGCGUAAUAAACAUGCCCUUCAGAGGGGGACAACAGUUGGAAACGACUGCUAAUACCGCAUACUGAAGGAGGGGAUUGCGUCUGAUUAGCUAGUUGGAGGGGUAACGGCCCACAAAGGCGAUGAUCAGUAGCCGGUCUGAGAGGAUGAACGGCCACAUUGGGACUGAGACACGGCCCAGACUCCUACGGGAGGCAGCAGUAGGGAAUCUUCCGCAAUGGACGCAAGCCUGAUCCAGCCAUGCCGCGUGUCUGAAGAAGGCCUUCGGGUUGUAAAGGACUUUUGUCAGGGAAGCGGUACCUGAAGAAUAAGCACCGGCUAACUACGUGCCAGCCGCCGCGGUAAUAC